UAAUUUUUCAAAAAUAGUCUCCGCUUGUUGAUAUGUUUCUGUGCAUGCAGUGCGUCAAAUGAUCUAAAUGUAUCGUAUUAUUCAGAAGUGGCAGGGUUUAAGAAUGCAGUUUGCCGGUCAUUUUCACUGAGCGUCAGUGUUGAUAUUAAUAUGAUACACAGAACUUGAUGAUAGAGGUGAAGGGGGCCCAAGACUUUUUUCCAUAUUAUUAUUUUAUGGAUACCAAGGGUAAUUGCCAAGGGCAAGCGGUAUAUUUUUGACCAGAAUUCAAUCUGGUGGCGUUUUGUGGCCGUCAUAUUAUGUUCGGGUUUCGUUCGUAAGCGUGUAGAUUUGUAAAUAGGCCUAACUUAUGCAUCGCCUACUGACCGCACUGACAGUUAUCGCCAUUUCUUCUGUGUUAUUUCUGAAAUCAUUACUAUUUAAAGUUUACAUGUACUAAUCUUCUGACUUUGAUUUUUGUGCAACAAUGUGGCUCAUCCAGGCCAUGGGAAAGGUUAAGUAGAUUUCUCUUAUACAGCGAAAAGAGGGAAUCAAAACAAUGGAAGUAUUCAGAUCGACUCUCUGUAGGCUGCUAGUUAUAGCCCAAGUCUAAAGUGAUCAAUGAUGUUAUGAAAAAAGUCGUAUUUUCGGGAAGAGACAGAAACAUACUUGAUGUUUCCGAAAAGGCCUAAUUAGCACUGACUGAAGUAUCCUAAAUGUGGAUCAUCAGGUUGUUGCUGCUGUCUAUAAAGUUUAUCAUAGCAAGGUGCUUAUCAUGUGUAUUUUUAUUAUUUCCGAAAAAAGAAUCAAUUCAUCAUUUUCCGAUAACUAGAUCUAUGUCUGACUCCUUUCUAAUGAAAACGAGCAAAAGUAAAACGAGUCUCUCGUCGCGCGCUAUAACGGGGUGUUUGCGGUAUUGUCCUCUCUGGUGAUGAUAAGCUAGUCGAUAGUCAAAAGUUAAAUAUCACCAUAUAUUGUCAGUGAGUUGGUCAUCGUUUGUUGAUUAUUAAAGUGAGAUAGGUGUAGCCAAUGUGCACCAAUGAAAAAUACAAUGGAAUUGAUAGCAACCAUAUUCUUUCGGUUUUCGAUCUGCAUAUGUUGCCACGUAGGCUACCAUACUACAGAAUUAUAUUUAACGAUAUUUAACUGUAUUAGAUCUAUGUUAAUAAACGUAGUGACAAAUAAAUUUCAAUAAAUAUUUAGAGCUGUUUCAACUUCGUCUGGUAUUGUAUAAGCUAUUGCAUUUUGUUUAUUUCCCCAUGUUUCUAAUCUUUGUAAAUGUUAGAACAUAUAUAACUAUCCUGGCAUAUUAAUAUGGAAAAUAUUAAGGUAGAUCUAAGUAUUAAAAAAAAUCACAGUUUUAAUUAGGAUAAAUACCCAAAAGUGUUAACACUUUUAUCACUUAUUGGUGGGCCAAUUCAUAAUUCAUAUUCAACAUUCUUGCUUCAAAUAUGGGAACUAUUUAUUUUAUUUGGCAAUAUAUAUUUUUCAUUUAUGUACAUAUUUUUCAAAUAAGGUUUUAGAAACUUGGCCAUGAUAUUCACUUGAAUCACUAGUUUGAGUGUACAGCAGAAAGGUAAAGUUACUGCUUUUGAAAAACUACAGUUGAUCUGUUGACUGAUAAAACUAUUUGCCAAUAUUACUAUCAGUUACAUCAUACUCUAUUAGUCUAAGUAAAUGGGAUUUAUCUAUACAGUACUGGUUUAUUUAAGAAUGUGAUACUUUGUGGUUUCUGUUUUUCUUUCAGGUGGAGAAAACAGUAUUGUGGGAGCGUAUUUGUUUAAAGUACAUAUCACUGACAGAAAGUUACCAAGGCAUAAGGAGAGACUGAGGAUACAGUUGAAGAUCAUCCCUGUGACUUUUCAUUUGAGGACUGAAAAGGCUCCCCAGCAACUCAGCCCAUGUUCUGACUUGUCAUUUAACAAAUAAAUAAAGGUCACCUCAA